AUUUAAAUAGCUUAAGAAGAGUUUAAUAUUGAAGAUAUUAAGGUGAUUAAAAAAUCUUUAAAUA
rnacentral:tRNA from 1 species